UCCUUGAUAGCUCAGUUGGUAAAGAAUCUGCCUGCAAUGCAGGAGACCCUGGUUCAAUCCCUGGGUCAGGAA
rnacentral:tRNA from 1 species